rnacentral:lncRNA from 1 species
AUUAUUAACAGCUGAUAUCUUUCGACCAAUUUGCUUUACCAAGUCAUGACAAUUAGUUUAUCAUGCUUCAAUUUUAAAUUACAUAUCUACACAUGCAAUUCAUGUAGGCAUUUAUCAAGUGAUUUUCAAGAUAAUAGAUAAACUAAUACAAAUAAACAUAUCUCAGAAGUUGAAUGAAUUAGGAACCAAAAUGAUACCCAUAUAGGAAGAGAAAAGAAAUGGACCUCAAUAAUUGAUGCCUAUAUAUUAUAUGAGAACUCGAUUACAGUAAACUCUGGCGAAUCGAAUCUACCCGAAAAAUGAAAACAGGGACUGAACUUACACCUCGGACGGCGGCUUCUCAAUCGAACUCCCCAUUUGAACAUCAAAAUCCCGAAAUUCAAACUACUUGAGCAGAAAAGGCACCAAACAAAGCCAAACAAAUGCUGGAAUCAAUUCAAAUGAAGCUCAGCGAAGUCUCCAGCAAUAAACAACAGAUUUCGAAAUUAGUUUUCAGCUUGAGAGAGGGAUGGCGGCUCCCAGGGUUCAAAAUGGGAGGAGUGUUCUGUCCGUCUCUACUCUUCGGCGGCGGUUGAAGGGUGAUGAUGUGUAUUCUUGUAGUGGAUGCCCGUCUCUUUUUUUAGGUUUAGUUCAAGGAAGAAGAAGAUCUGGGUGGGGUCGUUUGGUCGUUCAGCUGAAGCAUUUUGGCCUUCAAAAAUGGCUGAUGGUUUGUAUUGAAGGGUUGAAGAAGACGACAAAGAACAGGGGGGAGGAGACGUGUGGUCUGCUCGUGGGUGAUGUUCAGAUGGGGCGGGCAACUGUUUUUGAGUUCUUAGGUCCUAGGGUUUUAUUGUUGUCUCAAGGUUGAAGAUGGUCAAGUAGCUUGGGUUCAGCUUGUUUGUUUGAUGAAGAUGGCAGCCAUGGGUGUGUUCAAGGUUCUCUCCAUGGUUAGCUCUCUAGGGUUUUUUAUGUUCUUGUGUCAUUAAGAAGGAGUACCUAGAAUUCAAAAAUCUGAUAGGGGUGUGAGCUAAGGGAAAUUUGGGCCGAAAAUUG